GCGCCCUUGGUGUAGCGGUAACACACAAUCUACUCUUGAUAAUUUGUCAAAAUGAUUUUGACUGGGUUCGGGGUUCGAGCCCCCGAGGGCGCA